rnacentral:rRNA from 1 species
UAUUGCACAAUGGGCGCAAGACUGAUGCAGCCAUGCCGCGUGUAUGAAGAAGGCCUUCGGGUUGUAAAGUACUUUCAGCGGGGAGGAAGGGAGUAAAGUUAAUACCUUUGCUCAUUGACGUUACCCGCAGCAGAAGCACCGGCUAACUCCGUUCAAGCAGCCGCGGUACUACGGAGGGUGCAAGCGUUAAUCGGAAUUACUGGGCGUAAAUCGCACGCAGGCGGUUUGUUAAGUCGUAUGUGAAAUCCCCGGGCUCAACCUGGGAACUGCAUCUGAUACUGGCAAGCUUGAGUCUCGUAGAGGGGGGUAGAAUUCCAGGUGUAGCGGUGAAAUGCGUAGAGAUCUGGAGGAAUACCGGUGGCGAAGGCGGCCCCCUGGACGAAGACUGACGCUCAGGUGCGAAAGCGUGGGGAGCAAA